AUUCUAUUUAAACCAGGGAUUCAUGGUUUUGUAGAAACAUGUAUUGUUUCUAAAGAGUAUGUUAUUUGGUACAGACAAGAUUUGCGGCGAACUUUUUUUUAAGUUUUAUGGGAUGCAGAAGAAACUUGAAAACUUUGUUUCUAUAUUUAAAGAAAACAUGUCCUUGUUAUAGAUUAUUUUGUGCUAUGUGCCAGUUUGUGUCUGCUGUGCUUUUCUUAUUUUAUUAAAAAUUAUUUGUGAAAAUACACCUGUGAGGAAAUACUUUACCCUGUUUGGCAAAUAAAAUUAUAAUAUAGCAAACUGUGCCAUCUAAUGGCUGGUUCUAAAAUAUUUUUUCACUUACCUUUCGAUAACACAAUUUAAUCUUUUACAACAGCACUGAGACAAACCAAGCAUCUAGCCUCCAAUGAGUGAUGUCAUUGUCAUAUCUUAGAUGGAGUUAAUUUCAGCACAACAGUUGUGAGUGGAUUCUUAUUGUUAGGAUGCCUCCAUCAGAGCCUAUAUAUGACCGUGCAAAACACUGUUUUGCACUGUAGUUUGCACUCUUUAUAAUGGGGUAACAUGAACCUGAAUGAUGUCCAGUGAAACACAUGGUAUAAUCAUGUGAAGAAUAACAUCACACAAGAAACUUGAGUCCUCUGCUCAAUCAGAACUCGUUU
rnacentral:lncRNA from 7 species